rnacentral:rRNA from 1 species
GGUUGACCUCGGAUCAGGUAGGAAUACCCGCUGAACUUAAGCAUAUCAAUAAGCGGAGGAAAAGAAACCAACAGGGAUUGCCCCAGUAACGGCGAGUGAAGCGGCAAGAGCUCAAAUUUGAAAUCUGGCCUCCCCUGGGGGCCCGAGUUGUAAUUUGCAGAGGAUGCUUCGGGUGCGGCCGCCGUCUAAGUUCCUUGGAACAGGACGUC